UUUAUUUCUCGCAUACGUUUUGUCAAGCCCGUUGUAUCCAAUCCUAACUAACAUUAUCAUUCUCAUGCUACCCUUCUUCUUACCACGACGAUCAUCUAAGGUUAAGAUUUACGGUCUAGUACUAAACAUAGAUGGCAACACUCAUCCACUUAUACUACUUAGAAUUAUUUCUACCAAAGAUAAUCAAGAAACAUAAGGUCAUUGAGGGCUCACGACAAAAUAGUAAAUUUUUAAUCUAGU
rnacentral:lncRNA from 1 species